GCAUCGAUGNGAAAGNACGCAGCGAAAUGCGAUAACUAAUGUGAAUUGCAGAAUUCAGUGAAUCAUCGAGUCUUUGAACGCACAUUGGCGGCCCUCUGGGUAUUUCCGAGAGGGCAUGCCUGGUCCGAAGCGUCAUU
rnacentral:rRNA from 1 species